ensembl:lncRNA LINC00348 long intergenic non-protein coding RNA 348
AGUUCGGGGGCGGGCAGGAGAGUAAGCAACACAGCAUGAGUUUCCUGUCUGUUGCAGUGCUCUUGCAGCGGCUCCAAAUCACUGCUCACGUGUGUCAGGGUUUAUAUCUGUGGAGUGGCUGCAGCACCUGUGUUUCAGCCUGAAGAAUGGGCACAGUCCCUCUUUGGCAGACUGAAUGGAUGCUGCCAUACCAUCACACUGGAAAUGAGGAAUAUAACACCAUGAGGAAGAAUGGUUGUUUCACACACUGAUAUUUCAUGAUUCUGAAGAAGAAUUGGAGGUGAGACUUGAGAAAAUGGAGAAAAAGAUAUGCUUUGGAUUUUCUUGAAGACUAGAAGCUUUCUUAACCAUCCACCACCUUGUUGACUGGUUAUUAUUCUCUCUACCUUCUGUGAAACAAACUGAUGGAUACUAAUGGCACAAUUACACUUAUAGCUAGUCAGUUGCAUAGUUUAUGCACAUAGUUCUGCUUCCAGUGUUUAGUAAUGAGUUAAACAUUUUGGCUAUAUUUGUCUCUGAAGCUAUAAUUUCAAUUAAUCAUUAUGUAUAGCAAUAAUAACAAGUAAAACAAAAAGAAGAA